rnacentral:misc_RNA from 1 species
UCUCCGUUGGUGAACCAGCGGAGGGAUCAUUACCGAGUUGCAAAACUCCCAAACCCCCCCGUCUAUCUAUCUCGCAAGAGCCCUGCCUCGGCGGGCGGCCCCGGGGAGGGGCCGCGGCCGGCGUCUCGCGGCGCCGGCGCCCGCCGGAGGUGGGCCCCCAUUCGUAUCGUUAGUGUCUCUCUGAGCCUAAAGACAAAUAGUCAAAACUUUCAACAACGGAUCUCUUGGUUCUG